UUGGGUAUAAAGUGUGCGUAGGCGGUUUGUUAAGUCAGAUGUGAAAGCCCUGGGCUCAACCUGGGAACUGCAUUUGAUACUGGCAGGCUAGAGUAUGGUAGAGGGAAGUGGAAUUCCGGGUGUAGCGGUGAAAUGCGUAGAUAUCCGGAGGAACACCAGUGGCGAAGGCGGCUUCCUGGACCAAUACUGACGCUGAGGUACGAAAGCGUGGGUAGCAAACAGGAUUAGAUACCCUUGUA
rnacentral:rRNA from 1 species